UUUUUAAAUAGAUAAAAUAUAGGCCAAAGUUGACAAUAUUGUGUGAUAAGAGGUGACAUAUCCCUAUCAUUUAAGUGCAGUAGCUCUCUAGUUGACAGUAGACACAAAACAGUCAUCUGUAGGGAGAUACUAGUUGGUCACGUAGGCACGAAUAUAUCUGCACAUUUUCUAAUUGUUGUAACUCCCUUUUAUUGUUAUUUGGUAACACGGAAUACUACUAACUA